GAGGGCAUGUGAGGCAAAAUUCUGUAAGCCUCUCCUGACCCCUCGGUAAUAAAAAUAGCCAUGCACACCCCUCUCCACUGUGCCCCCUAGGCUUGGGUGCCGCCCCCCUAGCCACCCCAGCUCCUAGGAAUGAUUGGAAUUCCAGGAGUAUGAUCCUUAGGUGCCCUGGGCGGCUCAUCCCUGGGAGGUGGGCAGGGUGUGGGGGUGGCCUCUGCACCCUUUGAUCCCUUGUUGAGUCUGCCUUCCCUUGCCUGCUUGGGCCCCUAGACGAGCACUGCCCUCUCUAGCAAACCCAAGGGCAUCCUGCUUGGCACCUGUCCCCCUCCAAGGGUCCAAAGGCAAGGGCCCUACCAGCUGGCACCCCCUGCAGAGGCCCUCCUUCCUGCCGCAGGCAUAAACCUUUCUUUGCCCAGGCUGGCCUGGGACCCAAACAAUGGGGCUUCUGUCCCGCCAGGUCUGCCGUCACCUUUUACCUCCCUAUUGUGCAACGCCCUCUCUUCAACAGGUUGGGCCCAGGCCAGAGGUCUCUACCAGCAAAGAGGAUAAAAGAGACUACACCUGGACAAACCCUCCCAGGCCCAGGCCUGAGCCUCACAUGUGGCCCCGGGGAAGGCAUCAGGGACUCCCUUUGCCCUCCCACUGACCUCCCUGCAAACCUCCCCCAAACCAAGGGGCAUCCUCAGCUGGCCAGACCCUGGGGGAAGGGAGAGAGCCGAGGAUCACCGGCACCUGUGGCUGGGUUACCCCUGCCAUGGACCACUGGGUGAUCAAGAAGUCAUUCCAAAAUGUGAAGCGUUCUGAAGAUAUGCACAUAGCGUAAGAACCUGGUGUAAUGUGCUGGUCAAGGCGGUCUCAGAGAGGAGAUGACGUUUGAGCUGACACCUGAGGGAUGAGAAGAAAGCAGCCAUUCCCAGGGCCCAGGGGAGGCAUCCCAGGAAGCCGGAUCAGCAUGAGCAAAAGCCCUGAGGCCUGGCACAAGUUGGUCUGCUUGAGAAGCAGGAGAGAGCCCUGAGCAUCCGGAGUGCAGCAAGCGAGAUGAGCAAGUCAAGAUGCAGAAGGACUCUCUGGCUUGUCCAAGGUCACACGGCUGUUAGGAGCAGAGCAGCGUCCUGGUGCCCAAGCCCUGAGGUCCCCAGCACACUGCCUCUGCAAUGGCCACAACUGUCCAAAGACUAAGCUGACUCUCACACCUGGUAGUGUCUGUGGUCAUUCACUGUGGAUGGAAGUGGAGAAAUGCAGAAAACAGAAACACAGCUUCCCCUUUUCUGUCAUAUUUCUGUAUCGUUGGUGUUUGGAGCCAGUUGAGCACAAAGGGCCCCUGAGUGCUGUUUCCUUGUGAUAUUUGGGGGUUAACAGCUUCCCCUCAUCUCUUAAUUACCUGCCCUCCUUCACUUCAGCUGCACAUUCGUUAAAGAAUGCUCUCCCAGGAGAAGAGCUUGGUGUUAUCACCCACAAACAUCUUAGAAAACUAAUGCUAUCCUUGAGUGCCUGUUUACAGAAACAUUUUUACAUCUCACUUGACAUUUCCAGCAAAUCUUGAUCCUUCCAGCCAGGAAUAUUAAUAUAUAGGUCUUGAAAAGUGCAAGAGGCUCUUCCAUGGCUCCAAGCACAUUUGACACUCUUCCUUUUCUGAUCCCCAAGCAGACAGUGAUGAAACCCCAAUAGCUGGGCGAAUACUCAUCCAACAGGAAGAAUCAGUUUUAAGAGCUGGGUUCUCAGGGUCAAAUACUGUGGUGUGGCCUUUUGGUUGUAAUGAGUUGAAUGGAGGUCUCAAAAAAGAUAUAUCCAUGUUCUAAUCCCCAGAACUUGUGAAUGUGACCUUAUUUGGAAAAAGAGUCCUUUUGGAUGUAAUUAAGUUAAGGAUUUUGAGAUAAGGAGAUCAUCCUGGGUUAUCUGGGUGGACCCUAAAUCUGUUGACAAUGUCCUUAUGAGAGACCCCAGAGGGCACAGACAGGAAAGGAAGAGGCAAUGUGGCCCCAGAGGCUGAGAUCAGAGCUCUGUGGCCACAAUUCGAGGAACACCUGGAGCCACCAGAAGCUGGAGGAGGCAAGGAACAGAUUCUCCCUGAUCCUCUGGAUACAGAGGGAGAAUAGCCUGGCCGACACCUUGAUUUUGGACUUCUGGCCCCCAGAACUGAGAAAAUUAACUUCUGUUGUGUUAAGCAGCCACGUUUGUAGCAGUUCAUCAUAGCAGCCCUGGGAAAGAAAUACAGUGGGCUUCCAGUUCAAGGAGGAUCCACGAGGCCUGAGCUCCAUCUGUCGAUUGGAAUCACCAAAAUCAAGGUUGUGUGCGGGUAACGCCAGCACAAGCAGCUCAUGCUGGCAAAAGCAGACCAAACCGGCUCACGCAACGUCAAGUCAUCUUGAAGUGGUUCACGCACCACAGUGAGUGGUAUUGAUUGUGGUUAAGAGCCAGGUUCAAGGAGGUUUAUCACUCAGUAGCCAGGUAAAGCAGGUUCCAGGCCUGGCUCCACCACUCAACAACCGGGGAAACAGGGGUAAGCUUCUUAAAUGCUCCGUGUCUCAGUUUCUCCAUGUGUAAAAUGAGGGCACUAAUAACAGUCCCUACCUGCAAGGUGGUUGUGAAGAUGAUAUGAAUUCAUAUAUGUAAGGCACUUGGAAUUGACAAUACUGACAUACCACAAAUACAAAAUAAGUGUCUGCCAUUAUUAAGCUAACCCAAAUCAAAACAGACACAGAUGAAUUCAGAAUACUCAAGUAGACUCAGAUAUGUUCAAAUGGAGCCCACCAGUUAAAACUAGCUGAGACCAGUGUAAACUGGCUCAAGCCUUUUGGGCCAAGCUGUACUAAAACCAGAUUAAAUCAGUCAAAACAGGAUUAGAAUAGUCAGUCUGGAAUCUCUACACGCACGCCUGCACAUUUGAGGGGUCUCUCUCCGCCCCCUCUGUACAUCAGAUUGAAUAGUAACAAACAGUCCCACAUCUCCCAAGAAUGAGCAUAAUGGACAAGCAGAGGGCCGCCAAUGUCCCCACCAGAACGAGCAUAAUGGACAGGCAGGGGGCCGCCGAUGUCCCCACCUAAGACAUGCAGACAUUUCCCUGUCGGAAACGCGCUCAGAUUCUUUACGGCAGGUCAAGGCUCAAAUAUCAGAAACCAAUUUCACUCACACUAACUAAACAAGAGACGGGAUCUGUGGUUCAGGAUCCUGAGGCACUCGUGAAACUCAUGGGUAGGAAGGUCAGCUGGAGCCAGUUAGUGUCUGGAAGGCUAUCAGAGCUCAAGGCCCCUCUCUCUGGCCCAUGGAGGGGAAUUAACUCCCUCAAAGGCAGGAGCUCAGUGAGCAGGAGGCUGGUAGGGAGGUGGGAGCUGCAGGUGACCGGUUAGAAGUCAGAGGCUGUUGUGGGGGGCAGCUUGCACCAGUGGACACAAGAGCCCCAACUUGUGGGCACUUGGAAGUCCCAGGCUGUUCCCUGGCUCCACCCCGUCCUCUGGGGUGCCUGCUUCACAGAGCACCAAUAAUGCGUUUGUGUCACUCUAUGUUUCCUGGCAGGAGCAGACCUGCAGAGGGGCCAGAAGACACCUGGCCGGGUGGGGAGCAGCCCCUCCGUAAUAACAAUCGGAACCUGGGAAGAUAAGUAGAGUCCCAGGGGAGGGACAGAGUUUCCCCUGUGUCACCACAUGGCUACUUUGACACAAAUGCACGUGGGCAGAGAGAGGCAUGCAGGUCAAGGGCCUGGCAGGGAGUCAGGGGCCCUCAGUGCCAGUCCUGGCUCUGCCUCUGCCUCUGACACGCCAUGUGACCUUGAGCAAGUCACCACCCUGUCUGGGCUUCGCUAACCCAUAUACGGAAUGAGAAGGCGGCAAAACUGAAUCCCAGAGAGAAGACUCACUCAGACACAGCUAUCUGAACACUCUUUUCCAGUUCCCCUAGGGCAGCAGAGGAAGCAAGGUGGGGGGAAGCCAGUGGUCAAGGAUUCCAUGCGGAAUGUACCCUAGAAUUAACCCAUGGAGAGAGGGUAAGGGAACGGGCUCAGGCCUGGGAAGAAGUGGGGAGGACAGUGUCCUGUUGACCUAUUCAAAAACAUCCAGUUUUAGUUAAUUUUUAGUUCAUUAGUCACCACUUUUUAUUAGUAUCUCAUGUAUUCUUUCACAGUUUCUUUCUGCAGGUACAAAAAUAAUGAUUUUUUUUCUUUCUUUUUCUUCUUUGAGACAGGGUCUCGCUCUGUUGCCCAGGCUGUAGUACAAUGGUGCAAUCUCGGCUCACUGCAACCUCUGCCUCUGGGUUCAAGCGAUCCUUUGCCUCCGCCUCCUGAGUAGCUGGAAUUACAGGCAUGCACCAUGAUGCUUGGUUAAUUUUUGUAUUUUUAGUAGAGUCAGGGUUUUGCUAUGUUGGCCAGGCUGGGCUCCAACUUCUGGUCUCAAGUGAUCCACCCGCCUCGGGCUCCCAAAGUGCCAGGAUUACAGGCGUGAGCCACUAUGCCUGGCCAAAAGUGGCGAUGUGUUCUUAAUGCCCAUUUUCACAUAAAAGGUAAUAAUCUACCCACACCAUGCUGUACCUUGUUUGUUUUUUGUGUGUUUGUUUGUUUGUUUUUUGACAGAGUCUUGCUCUGUCAGCUAGGCUAGAGUGCAGUGGCACAAUCUCAGCGCGCUGCAACCUCCGCCUCCCGGGUUCAAGCGAUUAUCCUGCCUCAGCCUGCUGGGUAGUUGGAAUUACAGGAGCCUGCCACCAUGCCCAGCUAAUUUUUGUGCUUUUAAUAGAGAUGGGGUUUCACCAUGUUGGCCAGGCUGGUCUCGAACUCCUGACCUCAAGUGAUCCAUCCACCUUGGCCUCCCGAAGUGCUGGGAUUACAGGCGUGACCCACCGCGCCUGGCUCUUGUUUGUUUUUUUAACUAAUCACACAUCUUAGAGACCUUUAUCAGUAAUUAGAGAGCUUCCUGGAUCUUUUAUAUCACUGCAUAAUAAAUAUUCUAUUAUAUAGAUUAGAAUAAUUCAAAUUACCAGUUCCCUAUUGGUGGACAUUUGUUUCUGGUUUGUUUGUUUUUUCUAUUUUUUUUCUUAUCACAAACAGUGCUGCAAUAAGUAAUUGUGCAUAUGCACUGUUUCACAUGUGUGCAGGUAUACCUGCAGGAUAAAUUCCCAAAAAUGAAUUCCUGAUUUAAGAGUAUCUUUUUUUUUUUGAGACAGGGUCUUGAUCUGUUGCCCAGGCUAAAGUGCAGUGGCAUGAUCACGAUGCACUGCAGCCUCAGCCUCCUGGGCUCAAGCGAUCUUCCCACCUCAGCUUCCCAAGUAGCUGGGACUACAGGCAUGUGGCACCACGGCUGGUUAAUAUUCUCAGUGUAACAGAGUUUCAUCACAUUGCCCAGGCUGGUCUUGAACUCCUGGGCUCAAGCAAUCCUCCCACCUCAGCAUCCCAAAGUGCUGGGAUCACAGGCAUGUGCCACCAUGCCUGGCAGGUUGAAAGUACUGUAUGAGUUAUCUAUUGCUGCAUACCAGAUUAUCAUAAACUCAGCAGUUUAAAAAAACACCCAUUGUUUAGCUCACAGUCUCACCUGAACUGGGUGCUGAGUUCAGGGUGAAACCAAGGUGGCGGCCAGGCUUGGUUCUUUUUUGGAAGCUCUGGGGGGAAAAUCUACUUCCAAGGCCAUUCUUGUUGUUGGCAGAAUCUGGAUCCUUGUGGUUGUAGAACUGAGUCUCUGGUUUCUUGCAGGCUUCCAGGAGGGGCCUCCCUGGGCUCCCGGAGGACACCCACAGUCCUCACCAUGCAGCUCCCUCCAACAUCAAGCCAGGAAUGGCCGAACAGAUCUUUCUCAUGCUUCAAAUCUCUGAUGAAUUUCUCUUGCCAGAGAAAGCUUGCCAUUUUCCAAGGGCUCACCCAGUCAGAUCCGUCCAACAAGGGUGAUCUCCCUAACAUUAGGUUAACUGACUUGGAACCUCAGUUAAUCUGCAAAAUCCCUUUUGUCAUAUAAUGGAAUACAAUCAUUUGGUUCACAUGCUCAUCUUAUUCACAGGCCCUACACUCAUACAAGGGCAGGGGACCACAGAAGAGUGAAGGCCAGUGAGGGUCACCUCAGAAUUCUGCCCAACACCGGUGUUUUGUAAUUUGGGUAGAUGUUGCCAUGUUGUCCUCCGUGGGGAUUAUGCAGAGGGAACUCUCCUCCUCCAGCAACAGUACAUGUACCUGCUUUUCCAUGGUGCUGCUUAGAGAAUGUUAUCAAACCUUUGGAUUUCUGCCAGUCUGAUAGGAGAAAAAUGGAAUCUCAAUUGUAUUUUAAAAUUGUAAUUAUCGCCUUAUGAAUAAGGCUGAGCAUUUCCUCAAAAGCAUAAGAGCCAUUUAUAUACUUUUUUCUUUAUGGCUUCUGGUUUUGAGGCAUAGAAAGGUCUUUCUAGCUCUAAAGUUAAUCAGAAAUUCUCUGUUUUCUUUUUGCUUUUUUUAAAAUUUUACUUUAAGUCCUUGGAUACAUGUGCUGAACGUGCAGGUUUGUUACAUAGGUAUACAUGGGCCAUGGUGGUUUGCUGCACCUAUCAACCCGUCAUCUAGGUUUUAAGCUCCACAUGCAUUAGGUAUUUGUCCUAAUGCUCUUCCUCCUCUUUCCCCAUGCCCCCAACAGGCCCCGGUGUGUGAUGUUCCCCUCCCUGUGUCCAUGUGUUCUCAUUGUUUAGCUCCCACUUAUGAGUGAGAACAUGCAGUGUUUGGUUUUCUGUUCCUGUGUUAGUUUGCUGAGGAUGAUGGUUUUCAGCUUCAUCCAGGUCCCUGCAAAGGACAUGAACUCAUUCUUUUUUAUGGCUGCAUAGUAUUCCAAGUUGCAUAUGUGCCACAUUUUCUUUAUCCAGUGUAUCAUUGAUGGGCUUUUGGGUUGCUUCCAAGUCUUUGCUAUCGUAAGUAGUGCUGCAAUAAACAAAUGUAUGCAUGUGUCUUUAUAGUAGAAUGAUUUAUAAUCCUUUGGGUAUAUACCCAGUAAUGGGAUUGCUGGGUCAAAUGGUAUUUCUAGUUCUAGAUCCUCGAGGAGUCGCCACACUGUCUUCCACAAUGGUUGAGCUAAUUUACACUCCCACCAACAGUGUAAACGUGUUCCUAUUUCUCCACAUCCUCACCAGCAUUUGUUAUUUCCAGACUUUUUAAUGAUUGCCAUUCUAACUGGCAUGAGAUGGUAUCUCCUUGUGGUUUUGAUUUGCAUUUCUCAGCUCAUUGCAACCUCUGCCUCCCAGGUUCAAGCAAUUCUCCUGCCUCAGCCUCCAGAGUAGCUGGGAUUACAGGGGCACGCCACCAAGCCCAGCUAAUUUUUGUAUUUUUAGCAGAAACAGGGCUUCACCAUGUUGGCCAGUCUGGUCUCAAACUCCUGAUCUCAAGUGAUCCAUCCACCUCAGCCUCCCAAAGUGCUGGGAUUAUAGGCGUGAGCCACCACGGCUGGCCAUUCUCCUGUGUUUUCUUCUGGGGCUUUUAUACUUUCAUUUUUUAAAAUCCAUAGUUUCUUGGAGCUGGAGGUGUCCCUUGUCAUUUUCUCAUCAGUGAGUGCAAAGCAGGAUCCCAAAAGGAUUGGAGUCCAGAGUAGAGAAAGGAGCUGCCGCGGUGGAGUCUGUUCAGUGCAGGCUCUGAUCUCCUUCAGCCCUGCCAGGAAUCCCAGCCAGCAGAUCUUCUUCCAGCUUCCCUUUCUCCAGCACUCUUGAUCUUCUGGGCUGGCACAGGGUCCAGGGUUGAUGGGGAUCCUAGCUGCCUGAGGAGCUUCCAGUCUGGAGGGUGAUACAAGCACAUGGCCAGACCUGAAUUCAAGCCAUGAGAGAGAUUCAGAACCUGGGCUGGGAGCGCAGGGGAGGGAGCGGGGUGCUGAUGGGGGUGGAUGGGAGGCUCCAGAGAGGAGGUGGCGUCUGAACUGAACCUUAAGAAUGAGGGGAAAUGUAAUGGCAGCGAUGAGAAAGGGGAGGCACUUCAGUGCAGAGAACAGCAAGAGCAAAGACAAGGAGGUGGAAAAUCAGCCAGAAACCUAGCCUGGAGAGGGUUUAGUGGACCAUGGGUCCUUGAUGGUAGAGACACAACAUGACUUAUCUCUGUGUCCCAUCCUCUGUGCCAGAGGCGGCAUCGACCAGACUUGGACAAAUGAAGCAGAAGGGACAGGGGACUUAGAAUACUAGGCUGCAUCAUUUUCUUUUUACUCUGACAGUGAGAAGCAAAGACCUCCACAAAGAAAGAAGCCCUUGGCUGUGUCAUCAUUUUAGAAUCUGGGCACUCUCUGCACACCACUGCCCCCUCAUGGCUGAUCUAGGAAUUCUCUCUAAAUCCCAGACUGAAGGUGAGGAGGAGGCUCAGUGAGUCUUAGAGAUUUGAAAAGCCGUGAAAUCCUGGUUGGAGAACAUCUGAGUCCAAAGGGCCCUCAGAGACUCUCUGACUUCCUCAUUA
rnacentral:lncRNA from 10 species